GCGAGAGUAGUUCAAUGGUAGAAUGCGUGCUUCCCAAGCACGAGACGGGGGUUCGAUUCCCCUUUCUCGCU
rnacentral:tRNA from 1 species